GCCGGUGUGGCGGAAUGGUAGACGCAGCGGAUUCAAAAUCCGCCGAGGCAACCCCUCGUGAAGGUUCGAGUCCUUUCACCGGCACCA
rnacentral:tRNA from 1 species